rnacentral:sRNA from 1 species
ACGAGCCUCCAAAGUUGCCUCCUCCACACU